rnacentral:rRNA from 1 species
GACGAACGCUGGCGGCGUGCCUAAUACAUGCAAGUAGAACGCACAGUUUAUACCGUAGCUUGCUACACCAUAGACUGUGAGUUGCGAACGGGUGAGUAACGCGUAGGUAACCUGCCUGGUAGCGGGGGAUAACUAUUGGAAACGAUAGCUAAUACCGCAUAAUAUUAAUUAUUGCAUGAUAAUUAAUUGAAAGGUGCAAUUGCACCACUACCAGAUGGACCUGCGUUGUAUUAGCUAGUAGGUGAGGUAACGGCCCACCUAGGCGACGAUACAUAGCCGACCUGGGAGGGUGGUCGGCCAAACUGGGACUGGGACACGGCCCAGACUCCUACGGGAGGCAGCAGUAGGGAAUCUUCGGCAAUGGACGAAAGUCUGACCGAGCAACGCCGCGUGAGUGAAGAAGGUUUUCGGAUCGUAAAGCUCUGUUGUAAGAGAAGAACGGGUGUGAGAGUGGAAAGUUCACACUGUGACGGUAUCUUACCAGAAAGGGACGGCUAACUACGUG